AGGAUUAGCUGUGGACCCUACUUCUGGAGCAAAACUCAGACAAGGAUUUGCUAAAUCUUCUAAAAAAGAUUAACUUCUAGAGGCCAGACCGUCUCCCUUUAACUCAUCAGCGUGGAUGGCUGUGUACCCAGGAAUGCCACCUAAGGGGGAAGGAAAGGCGGACGGCUGUUUAUAAGCCCACGAUUCUUCUUGAGACAUAAUGGAGAACAAGUAAAAACCACAUUCACCUUUUCUUCUUCAUUACUCUCUUUAAAAUUUUCAAAACAAUAUUAAACAACACAUCAACCUGUAUGUCAGUGGUUGACUUUUUGUUUUAAUUACAGUUAAUAGGUUUUUAAAGAAAUGUUGCUUUGAUGUUAGAACCUUUUAGGAAAACAGUCUUUGGAGUUUUACUUACUAGCAUUAUUUACUUAACUAGGAAAAUAGUGUUUUACCUAGCUUAACCUACACAAUGUGAAAUCCCGUUUUUGAUAUUUGCUUCUAAUGAACUUUAAUCAGUAAGUGUUCCUAUUUUAAGUGUCCAUCUGUAUACCAUGAGGAAUUGUCUCAGACCAGUGCACACAGCUUUUGGGGAAACACUGCCAUGGAGGAACAGUUACAGUAACUCUCCCCUCCUGUGGGAAGGGUGCUCUUAAGUGGACUCAGGUUAUUUAUUUAUCAUGGCUGAAUCAGAAGCCAGCUGGUUAGUCCACCACUGGUUUAUAUGGCUCUGUUCCUUUUCUUUGCCGUCCUCAGGGUGAAUAAACUCUCUUUGUAGAGUCCUUUAUACUUAUGCUUUUUUCAUUUAAGAACUUUUUUUUUUCCUUGACCUCAAGGAAUUUCAAUUAGGAAUUAAGCCAUUUCUCCUGUCUAAAUUUAAGUAGGAGAAUUCCAACCUACUCCACUUGUAAUGCCCCGAACACAACACCUGAAACUUUUAGGAUCUGUAUUUUGGGGAGCUAAUGCUGUUUUAUGCUCAGGGAAAUCAGGUAUGUGUCCUGGAAUGGACUGAAGACUACUAAGCCACAUAAAAGUAUUUGUGGAAGCUUCUGUGAAUGGAUCUUGGGAGAUUUCACUAAGGUGAGCCAGUACUCUCCUUCUCCUCAUGCUCUGGCAGAUCGCCUUCUCUCGGAGAGGUAAGAGCAGAUAUAGGAAUGGAGGUAGGCAUCCCAAUGGAUUCCUACUUCAUGAAGAGGUAACCUUUAUCCCUUUGUCUCAUUUCCUACCCCCAGGUUAAACUGUACAUUAAGGCUCUACCAUGUCAGUUCCACAUACUACAGCCAAGCCCCGGGCCACUUGUCUGCUGCCCAUCACGGUCCUCGGCAUCACUGGAACUCCUAGAGGGAAAGGAGACAGCGGGGCAGCCUUCAACUGAAACUGCGGAGAGAUGGAGUGGAAGGUGCUCAGAAGGUCUCCGGCCUGCAGACUCUCUUUCAUCAGCUCCUGACCCCAGGAAAUACUUGCUGAAAGAAUGAACUGACGCUACGUGCAAAACUGGCACAGAAAACCACAGUAAACAGUGGCGUGUAAGGGCUAACGUGCAUCCGCAUCCUGCAUCCCUUUUCCCUUGCGGUGUCUGGCCAGAGGACUAGCUGAGCCAUUUAAAGAUGCGCUGACCAAAUGCUGUGCCAUUUAGGCACAAAUGGAGGGACGGUGCUGAGCACAUGAGCGGAGCCACGGUGGCCUGAGCUCCAGAGCAGGGGAGAGGCCGCGCCGUGGGCCUGGCCUGGAUCUACCCAGAUAUGGGCCUCUCAGUUACCAUGAGCCUUGCUUCCUGCUUUCCCACAUCCCAAUUUAUAUAUGCAGACUCGGGCUGGGAGGACAAUGCCGGAGGCACAGGUGCGGCUCCAGGGGCAGAAAGAUGAUCCGCAUCACUAGCGCGGCGCGUGUUCUGGAUCACGAGACCGUCUGCGGAGAGAAGAGGAACAGAGGAACAGUUUUCUGGUAUUAGCCGUUUGAAAACAGUGCUCUUCCUCCCCUCGCAGCUCAGCACCAACCACCCAGAACCAGCACGCUUCUUUAAAUGGGUCCAGUGCAGCACCCACGUCCCCCUCCUCCCCGUGCGCUCCCACAGGUCUCUCUGCACUCAAGUCCUCAGGGGUGAGGAGGCCAGCACAGUGUUUGGACGGGGCACGAAGCACACUUUCCCUUCCCCAGAGACCGCUAGUUCCAUAGACACGGGAUUAGCUACUUCAGAUCAUGACUUCAGGUCAGCGGGAGACUCAGUCGGCCAAGUCAAAGAAAAAAAAAAAAAACUCCCCUGUGCAUUCGAAUGUUUUACUGCUAUGGAAACAAAAAUCAUCUCUGCUUAUUCAAACCGUGGGCUAUUCGUCUUCGCUCGUUGUUAGCACAACAUACACUGUUUAUCACACCUGUUUAAACUUCCACGGGAUGAGAUGAAAUAAUUUGUGUACAUCCAAGUUAAUUUGUUUGCAAGGUUACCAGGCUGAAGGUCUCAACUCUAGGAUGCCAACAAAAUGUGAAUAAAGCUAGUUUAGCUCGCUGAUGCGGGGCCUGCGGAGGGGAAACAAAAUAUUCCCACGGAAACAACAGUGGCCCAGGCUGCGGUCAAAGGCGUAGGUAGCAUCCUCUAGUGAACUGUUUUCCUAAUCUCUUCCCCUCUGCUUUAUGGGCACAUUUCCUCAUUCCUGAGCCCCACCCUGGAGGGCCAACUACUUGUUCGCAGGCCACUUCCAGGAGGUGGGCCUGCUGCCUUCUCAAUCUCAACCUGUCUCAAACCAAAACUGUCACCACCCUUCCAACCCGGGCCAGUCCCCCAAAGCCAGGCCCUUCUGCUUCUACCGGCGGACCAUCACGCGAGGAGGCGACGUCGCAGGCGGUCCUGAACAACGCAGUAAAACCCUGACUACCUAGAAUCCUGUGCUUUUCUAGAGAGAGUAAUUCUCAGGCAAGUGGAUACUAACCUUUCAAGUGCCAAUACUUAAAAAAAAUUAGAGUACUAUAUGUUUACAUUAAAAACACCCUGGGGUAGCUUUUGUUUGCAGACCAGCCUUUUCUGAGCUUUGCCAAGGAAGCCGAGCGCUGGGCGGGAAAGGGACCAAUCACAGCAGGUCUUCAAGUGCCUGUUUCGUGCAGGCAUUCAUUGACCGCCCAGUCUUUAGAGUUGCUCUUUAUUGUUAAAAGUUAAUUUUUACUUACCUUUUCACAGUUACUUUCAGAUCGGAAAGCUGGAGCCUAGCUAGGUGAAAUUUUAUUGUAAUAACAGUGGAAGCCUCUUUAAACAUACGAGCACAUGUACACAGAGAAACUGACCUUCCUUUUCUAAUGGGCCAAAACUUCAGCAAACUUCUUGUGUUCCGCAUCAGCUAGCUCAGAUGCUUUCAGUGUCUGGUCAGAGCUCACAAGGAGCCAGCACCAGGCAGAUACCCCUCACCGAGGUGCCCCACCUGCCUGGAACCCUCAGAGCUGACGUGUGUACUUUGACCUGAAGCUUCAGCACUGAUCCAAAGCUGGGACGUGGCCGUUCUCAGCCAGCAUCUUGGCACCAAACCUUCCUUCUGAGGGCAGCACGCACAUACCUUGUUCCUCUGUCACCAAGUGUGACUUGAACUGAGCCCCUCUCCCCCAACUCCUUGUGCCCUCACAGUAUCGCUGUUCAUGCCCGAGGCCCUCCUCUGGGCAUCUCCAACAACUGUGGCCACAGACAGAAGGACUCCUUCCAGGAAUGCUAUCCCGUGUGGCCGAGUUUUUGCUGCCAGGUCUCAUGAUGUGUCCUACUUCUCAUCCAGCCCAAGUCUGGCCGUAAUACUGGCCCAGCUAUAAAAGCCAUAGAAUUUAUCAUCAUCAUUACAUAUACGCAUUCACUCGAAAUUGCUGUGUUCUUUCCAGGUCUAUCACAAAAGAUUAAAAUGUGCACACAGUAUAAAGUUUGAA